UUAGACCAUAUUAGAUGUAAAUAAUUAUUUACAUAAUUUAAAACGUCCUAACCUAAACAUAUUUAAUACAUUAUCACUGAACUACAAAAAAGAGAUUUUACUCCAAUCAAAAUGAAAUCUUUAUUUAAAGAAAAUUUAAGUAUCAUAAAACAUAAAGUACGUUGUAUGGCUGAAUCACCAUCGGUUUUGAACAAUGGUCAAAGGGAAUUAGACGCAAGUCCCUUUGAGCCGUCAGUAGCUUUAACAGGUAACAUAUAUUGAUGAAGAUCACUUAUAUUUUGUAGAAAUACCUACUUGAACCAAGAUAACUUGGGCGUUUGAUGUAUAUUUUUAGCUUCUGAGAGAUUGAUCUUAAAAGAAAUAAAAAAGUUGAAUUGGGAAAUACAGGAUAUGAAAAAAACAGUAAACAAGAUUCAGGACCUGUUGCUCACAAUUAGCAUGAUUAAUAUUAAGUUCUAGUGAAGAACCUUUUCAACUACCAAUUGAGAACCAGGCUUUACUAGAAUCUAUAGAGCAGCAUUUAGAAGAUGAAAAAAAUAUUGAACUUUUGGCUCAACGGAUUAUACCUUUGUGGAGGGGACAAUACCCACAAAUCUGUUUUUUUAUUAAUGAAAAAACUGUUUGCCAGAGAUGUAGCAAUGCUCUAUUCUGGAUCAUGAAAGAAGGGAAAAUUAUCAUUUCAGAAGUUGUCAAGUUAUAAGGCUAUUAUAAGUAUAAAUUUUAAAUUGUUUUGGCGCCACGGAUGCAGGUAUUAACAAAUCCAUAUCUUUGUAUUUGACAGGAGCAGCAGACAGGGAAUGAAGACGUAAAAACAGAAAUGCCCAAUAUAUACAGUUAUUUUGAAACAGAAAAAUAUUUUUCGUUUUUUUAUUUAUUAUCAGGAUAACAGCUUAUUUU